ACACACACACACACACACACACACACACACACACACACUAAAUUAUAUAGCACACUCCUCUUUUGAGAAGACAUUCUUCCUUCACCUAUGAAGAAGCAUGAGAGGGGGGGAAAUGACCAGAGCUACAUUUCAAAGUGUUUGCCUCUCUGUGUGUGUCUGGUGUGUGUGUGUGUGUGUGUGUGU